GUGCCAGCUGCCGCGGUAAUACCGGCAGCUCAAGUGAUGUCCCAUAUUAUUGGGCCUAAAGCGUCCGUAGCUGGCCUCGCAAGUCCGUCGGGAAAUCCAUCAGCCCAACUGAUGGGCGUCCGGCGGAAACUACAAGGCUUGGGACCGGAAGGCUCGAGGGGUACGUCUGGGGUAGGAGUGAAAUCCCGUAAUCCCGAACGGACCACCGAUGGCGAAAGCACUUCGAGAAAACGGAUCCGACAGUGAGGGACGAAAGCUAAGAUCGCGAACCGGAUUAGAUACCCUAGUAGUCU
rnacentral:rRNA from 1 species